GUGUCAGCCGCCGCGGUAAGACGGAGGGAGCUAGCGUUGUUCGGAAUGACUGGGCGUAAAGGGCGCGUAGGCGGUUUUUUAAGUGAGGCGUGAAAGCCCUGGGCUUAACCCAGGAGGUGCGUUUCAUACUGGAAAGCUUGAGUGCGAGAGAGGAAAGUGGAAUUCCUAGUGUAGAGGUGAAAUUCGUAGAUAUUAGGAAGAACACCAGAGGCGAAGGCGGCUUUCUGGCUCGCAACUGACGCUGAGGCGCGAAAGCGUGGGGAGCAAACAGGAUUAGAAACCCUUGUAGUCC
rnacentral:rRNA from 1 species